GUCUACGGUCAGGGUAUCCUGAAUGUGUCCAAUUUCAUCUGAUCUUGGAAGGUAAGCAGGGUCAGGCCUGGCUAGUGUUUGGGUGGGAGGGGAGGGUAAGAAAGGCUUCUGAAGUCA
rnacentral:rRNA from 14 species